GUGUCAAGAAUUCAUUGAUUAAUGAAUAUGGAUUUGUUUCACUUCACUGAUCUCUAACUAUUUCUCUCCAUCAUCACUGAUCCAAACCCUUGCAGAUUCCUUGCGUUUGAGUGGAAGUUACAGCUAAAAAAAGAUUUUCUUUGGAACUUGGGGAAAAAUCGGUGAAUUGGUUCAAGAGAGGAAAAAUGCAGAAUAAAGAUUCAGUUUAUGAAUAUGAGGAAGUAGAUUCUUUGGCAUUUCCGAUGUCUGAAUUCGAUGGAUGUAACUGUUUUGGUGAUGAU